rfam:Picea glauca, whole genome shotgun sequence.
UACCUGGUCGAUCCUGCCAAUAGUCAUUUGCUUGUCUCAAAGAUUAAACCAUGCAUGUCUAAGUAUGAACUAAUUAAGACUGUGAAACUACGAAUGGCUCAUUAAAUCAAUUAUAGUUUCUUUGAUGGUACCCUACUACUCGGAUAACCAUAGUAAUUCUAGAGCUAAUACGUGCACCAAGUCCUGACUCUUUGGAAGGGAUGCAUUUAUUAGAUAAAAGGUCGGCAUGGGCUUGCCCGCUUCUUCGGUGAAUCAUGAUAACUCGACGAAUCACACAACCCUUUUGUUGGCGAUGCUUCAUUUGAAUUUUUGCCCUAACAACUUUUGAUGGUAGGAUAGAGGCCUAUCAUGGUGGUGACGGGUGACGAAGAAUCAAGGUUCGAUUCUGGAGAGAGAGCCUGAGAAACGACUACCACAUCCAAGGAAGGAAGCAGGCGCACAAAUUACCCAAUCCUGGCAUGGGGAGGUAGUGACAAUAAAUAAAAAUACUGGGCUCAUCAAGUCUGGUAAUUGGAAUGAGUACAAUCUAAAUCCCUUAACGAAGAUCCAUUGAGGGGAAAGUAUGGUGCUAGCAGCUGCGGUAAUUCUAGCUCCAAUAGCGUAUAUUUAAGUUGUUGCAGUUAAAAAGCUCGUAGUUGGAUCUUGGGUCAUAAAGGUAGGUCUUCCUACUCGGUGUGCACCUGCCCUUCUGUCCCUUUUGUCGGCGGCGUGCUCCUGGGCUUAAUUGGUUGGGUCGCGGUUUCAACGUUGUUACUUUGAAAAAAUUAGAGUGCUCAAAGCAAGAUUAUGCUCUGAAUACAUUAGCAUGGAAUAACACGAUAGGAGUUUGGUCAUAUUGUGUUGGCCUUCGGGACCGAAGUAAUGAUUAAUAGGGAUUGUCGGGGGCAUUCGUAUUUCAUUGUCAGAGGUGAAAUUCUUGGAUUUAUGAAAGACGAACCACUGUGAAAUCAUUUUCCAAGGAUUUUUUCAUCAAUCAAGAACGAAAAUCGGGGCCUCGAAGACAAUCAGAUACCGUCCUAGUCUCAACCAUAAACGAUGUCAAUGAGGGAUCGACAGAUGUUGCUCUAAGGACUCUGCCAACACCUUCUAAGAAAUCAGAGUGUUUAGGUUCCGGGGGGGGUAUGGUCGCGAGGUUGAAACUUAAAGGAAUUGACAGAAGAGCACCACUAGGAGUGGAGACUACGGCUUAAUUUGACUCAACACGGGAAAGCUUACCAGGUCCAGACAUAGUAAGGAGAUACAUAUUGAGAGCUCUUUCUUGAUUCUAUGGGUGGUGGUGCAUGGUUGUUCUUAGUUGGUGGAGCGAUUUGUCUGGUUAAUUCUGAUAACAAACGAUACCUCAGCCUGCUAACUAGCUACGCGAAGGUUCCCCCCCACGGCCAGCUUCUUAGAGGUACUAUGGUUGUUUAGGCAAUAACAAGUCUGUGAUUCCCUUAGAUGUUCUGGGCCGCACACGCGCUACACUGAUGCAAUCAACGAUUUUUUCUCCCUGGUUUAAGAGGAUCGGGAAAUCUUCUUAAACUACAUCGUAAUGGGUAUAGACCAUUGCAAUUAUUAGUCUUCAACGAGGAAUUCCUAGUAAGCGUGUGUCGUCAGAUCGUGUUGACUACGUCCCUGUGCUUUGUACACACCGCAUGUCGCUCCUACCGAUUGAAUGAUCCGGUGAAGUGUUCAGAUCACGUCAACGAGGGUGGUUCGUCGCCGACGAUGUCGUGAGAAGUUCACUGAACCUUAUCAUUUAGAGGAAGGAGAAGUCGUAACCAAGUUACUGUAGGUGAACCUGUGGUAGGAUCAUUG